rnacentral:lncRNA from 1 species
AUCGAACCCCUACCAUAGCAGACAUUAUCAACUCACCCUCAACUUUCCUCAAGAAUUACCUCUUCAACUCGAAACCUCAGAAACGCAAAGCUUGCCUCUAAACCAAAGUGUACCAACACUCCUUCAAUCAAACUUUAUGACUUGCUCUAAAUCUCACGGUCUUCCUGUUUCAUGUGACCUAGCAUCCAACCACUGUUUCUCUCUUGAUCAAAUUCAGUCUGUCACUCAAUGCCACCACUUAGAAUUUAUCGUACACUCUGCGCUGCCAGCUUAUCUCAAAACCUUCCUUAACUCAGAAACAUCAAUAUACACAUUUUAACUUUAAUCUUCUGAACCUCAAAAUACCUUUAACCUGCAACAUCAACCCUCUGACUGUAUCCGAACUCACCCACUGACUAUCCUCUGUAACUCAACAUCUAACAUUCACUUCUAUCUUGUUUUAACCUAGCCGAUCACUGAACAUUCCCACAAAUCCACACCUGAAGAAGACUGACCGUAUCACAACGUACCUCUUCAUAACUCUGGACAUCUCAAUCAACCCGGAUUCUCUAGUCAUUCUCAACACUCUUCAGCAUCUUAUACUAAGACCACCCUUUGUUAUCUGUUCUAAAACCUUUCUUCUCCUUUCCUCAUCCCCUGUGCUCUUAAUUCUCUGACCUUAUACUUUCCUACCAAACUAACAUUCUGAUGUACUCCUCCCGUC